rnacentral:rRNA from 1 species
CGAACCCACGUACGUUGAAAAGUGCGGGGAUGAGGUGUGGGUAGCGGAGAAAUUCCAAACGAACUUGGAGAUAGCUGGUUCUCUCCGAAAUAGCUUUAGGGCUAGCCUCGGAAUUGAGAAUGAUGGAGGUAGAGCACUGUUUGGACUAGGGGCCCAUCUCGGGUUACCGAAUUCAGAUAAACUCCGAAUGCCAUUCAUUCAUAUCCGGGAGUCAGACUGUGAGUGAUAAGAUCCAUAGUCGAAAGGGAAACAGCCCAGACCACCAGCUAAGGUCCCAAAAUAUAUGUUAAGUGGAAAAGGAUGUGGGGUUGCACAGACAACUAGG